rnacentral:misc_RNA from 1 species
GUUUCAUCUAAGUGUUCUUCCUUUGACUCGUCAGCUGACCAAUAUCAGUGGUAACCUUUGGGGAAAAACCCUUCAGGGUGCUCGGGCCCAAAGAGUAGAAUACCUCUUGUUGCAUGCAUUCCAUGCUAAGAAAUUCAUAGUGCCAGACAAAUUUUCUUCUCAUGCAAGAGAAGCUAAAAUUACAAAAAGAAAGUUGAACCAGGGUGAUGAGGGAAAAGAAACUGAGCCCAUUGAUGCUGAUGAUCCAAAUAUUGAAGGUGGGAUUCUGGACAUCAACCAUGGGAAAGCAAAA